rnacentral:ncRNA from 1 species
ACCUGACUGUUGUAUAAUCAGCAGACACUAGCCAAGACAGGAGACAAUACAUG